rnacentral:sRNA from 1 species
UUAAUAUUGAAAAUAGAACUGUGGUGACAUUAGCUAUACGCAUCUAAAUUGUGCAGAAUUUGAAUGUAGGAAACAGGAUUAUGAAACAUGACAUCUGUAGCCAUGAGCAAAAGUAACACACACAAAAAGCCAGUCCUUAAAAGGUAAUUUAUAGCGUUGCACUAUUUGUUAACAAAUAAUGAAUGAGAGUGAAAGAAUACUUAAUUUUUGUUUUUCACAUCUGGUUAAUUUGGUACUAGAUCUGGUCAUUAUGAGAGCAGUAUUAUAAGGAAGCCCACAACUUCCUGAUAACCCUGUAAGAUCCCCCAGAAGUAAAUCAGUGAGGAAUGGUAUUAGGAAUAGGCUUGUAAUGUCUGGAUAUGAUUAUUCAUUUUGUUUCUCUAUUUUAUAGGUGUGCCAUUAUCUACACAAUGGGGACCUCAAGGCUAUUUCUAUCCAAUCCAGAUUGCACAGUAUGGAUUAAGUCAUUACAGCAAGAAUCUAACUGAGAAACCUCCUCACAUAGAGGUAUAUGAAACAGCAGAAGACAGAGACAAAAACAAGCCUAAUGACUGGACUGUGCCAAAGGGCUGCUUUAUGGCGAAUGUGGCUGAUAAGUCUAGAUUCACCAAUGUCAAACAGUUUAUUGCACCAGAAACCAGUGAAGGUGUAUCCUUGCAACUGGGAAACACAAAAGAUUUUAUUAUUUCAUUUGACCUCAAGUUCUUGACAAAUGGAAGUGUGUCCGUGGUUCUAGAGACCACAGAAAAGAAUCAGCUCUUCACUAUACAUUAUGUCUCAAAUGCUCAGCUAAUUGCUUUUAAAGAAAGAGAUAUAUACUAUGGCAUUGGGCCCAGAACUUCAUGGAGCACAGUUACCAGGGACCUGGUCACUGACCUCAGGAAAGGAGUGGGUCUUUCAAACACAAAAGCUGUCAAGCCAACCAAAAUAAUGCCCAAGAAGGUGGUUAGGUUGAUUGCAAAAGGUAAGGGAUUCCUCGACAACAUUACCAUCUCUACCACAGCCCACAUGGCUGCAUUUUUUGCUGCUAGUGAUUGGCUAGUAAGGAACCAGGAUGAGAAAGGUGGCUGGCCAAUUAUGGUGAC